CCUACGGGCGGCAGCAGUGGGGAAUAUUGGACAAUGGGCGAAAGCCUGAUCCAGCCAUGCCGCGUGUGUGAAGAAGGCCUUCGGGUUGUAAAGCACUUUCAGUGGGGAAGAAAGCCUUGGGGCUAAUACCCUCGAGGAAGGACAUCACCCACAGAAGAAGCACCGGCUAACUCCGUGCCAGCAGCCGCGGUAAUACGGAGGGUGCGAGCGUUAAUCGGAAUUACUGGGCGUAAAGCGCGCGUAGGCGGUCUGAUAAGCCGGUUUUGAAAGCCCCGGGCUCAACCUGGGAACGGCAUCCGGAACUGUCAGGCUAGAGUGCAGGAGAGGAAGGUAGAAUUCCCGGUGUAGCGGUGAAAUGCGUAGAGAUCGGGAGGAAUACCAGUGGCGAAGGCGGCCUUCUGGACUGACACUGACGCUGAGGUGCGAAAGCGUGGGUAGCAAACAGGAUUAGAUACCCUAGUAGUC
rnacentral:rRNA from 1 species